CAUUCCCUGAAUAUGAUGGCUAUUCUCAGUUUUCAAUUUGACUAUAUCUGGAAUUAACUGAAACCCAAAAGUGGCUGGACACACUUGGAAAGGGAUUUUGCUUAGAUCAUUUGAAGUUGGACGAUUCAUUUCAGUUAUAGACAACUCAGUAGUUUUCAGACAAGGCUACCUCUUGGAGAUAUUCUCAGGUAAGCCUGGCCCAGGAAUGCACAAAAUCUUCCCACACACCAGCUUUUCACUAACGUAAAGGACUCCAGGAUGUGUGUUAAAUUCCCAGCAUCUGGAAAGGAGACCCCAGCUUCAGGACUAUGAACAACUACCUCUUUAGGAGUAUAUAAAGAAAUAAACUUUCUUACUUUAAUAUAGACUAGAAAUCAUGCCCAGGCUUGUUUUCUGAAAGCAAAGCGUCCUGUCAGAGGGACUGUGUGUCCCUUGAACCACAAGCUGUGAAUUGGAACAGCUGUUCCCAUUUAAGAUUCUUUUGCAAUUCCGGGGCCACAGCAGUAGCCUUAGCCACAGCAUCUUGACAGUACAGGGGAUGAUUUCCUCACAAGGGUCUUUGAGGGCUUACCUCACAAUCUAUAUUUAGUUACAUGUCACAGACUGCUGUGAAACUUCAAAAUUGUUUGUGUGUGUGUGUGUGUGUGGCAUGGUCUCCCUCGGACUCCCUGAAAUAACUGAGUCCUGCGGGUCGGGACAAGUGGCAUCCAAACGUGGGGCCCGAGGUACAGACCGUCACUGGACGGAGCCAAUUUUCCUGAGAAGGUCACUCCGAUGAAGUCGUUUUGAGGAGAGCUCUCACCGCUCAUGAGAGAAAGUCAUCCUCGAUAAAUACUUCUCUCAGCCUUAACCAGAGAAGCUCCUCUGAGCUGUGAAAGGCUACGGAUAUAGAGGCAUAUAACCACACAAGGUGCUGAGAAUAAGUGAAAUAUCCAGGUAUAAAGGAGAUAUUUAUGCUACCCCUAAAGCUCAUGCAAUAUUGAAGAAGCAGCCAAAUGCAUCACCUCAACAAGUUCUCUGACUGAUUGCAUGGAGAUUGCUUAAGACAGCCAAAAGAACCAAUUUGGUCAAGUAAAAUCAGCUUAAUGGCCAUAAAGUCUGACAGGAACUGAUGAGAAGUUGUGAAUGUAAGACUCCAGGGAACCUUAGCUUACCUAGGACCCCCUGAGUGAACCACGUGGAUCCAGGAUCGAUGCAAAGAAGCAAGAGGAAUUUAUUGUUCCAGUGCACUGAGGUCUUCCCAGACCCGAAGAAGAGGCGGUGGGUGACCCCCAGCAUCUGCCGAGUUUUCAUAUGGUUUCCAGGGACAGAAUAGAGCAUCAACAACUUGGCACAAUAUGAUAGGUGGAACAGUGCACCCUUUAAACUGAUUGAACUUUAGGGAAUGAGGUGACAAGGACUUUACUUGUCUGAAGGUGGGCAACAAUCGGUCCUGCAGAAUGUGUCCCCACCAGCAGGUUGGUCCCCGCCCUGUGGUCUGAGAAAUGGUAAUUAGCCUCUCCCUUCUGGAGGUGCAAGUGUUCCAUGACCUUCCCAAAGUUCCUAAGCUGAUGUUUUCAUGAGAAGUGCUGAGUUCCAAGGCCCUUUUUUAUGUUUUGAUGAAAGAACGCCAUGUUGGUUUCUCUACAAAGAUUAGUGAUGACUGCAUUGAUCCAAGAAAUAGCUAAAAGGUAACAUACUACUAUAAUUAUAUAAAACAAUACAGCGUUUACAGUUUUGUUUGUAUUUGUCUUUUAUUUAUUUAUUUGCUUAUUUUUGGCAUUUGAAAGAUACCAUGUUUUUGUAUCUAACAAUAAAUCUGGGGAGAACUAAGGUGCAGGUUUCUUAUGUUGAUCCAACACCUAAAACAGGAGCUGCUCUCUUUCUUCAUUAUUCAGGGAUUCCCUCAUUAUUAUGGUAAUGAGGUUAGCUCUGAGCUCCUUCCACAAGAACUCCUCUUUGCUAAUCCUAUAGAGUACUGGAUUCCUGGGGCAUUAUUGGAUAAAAGUUUCUAUUCUUACUCCAACCACUGCAGUAUUUUCACUAGCUCAGCAUUAUGUAUUUUUCUGCAUUCUUCCUUGCAUAUAUACUAGUAAAAGGUAACUGUUUUCAUAAAUAAAAAAAAAACACCUUCCUG
rnacentral:lncRNA from 1 species